rnacentral:rRNA from 1 species
UUUCCGGUUGAUCCUGCCGGCGGCCACCGCUAUUGGAAUACGAUUAAGACAUGCGAGUCGAGAGACGUAAGGUCUCGGCGGACCGCUCAGUAACACGUGGAUAACAUGCCCUAAGGUGGGGGAUAAUCUCGGGAAACUGAGGGUAAUACCCCAUAGGUCUAUUUUGCUGGAAUGCUAAUAGGCCGAAAACUCCGGUGCCUUAGGAUUGGUCUGCGGUCUAUCAGGCUGUAGUGGGUGUAAUGGACCCACUAGCCCGUGACGGAUAUGGGCCUUGAGAGAGGGAGCCCAGAGAUGGACUCUGAGACAUGAGUCCAGGCCCUACGGGGCGCAGCAGUCGCGAAAACUUCGCAAUGGGGGCAACCCCGACGAGGGAAUUCCAAGUGCUAGCACUUUGUGUUAGCUGUUCUUCUGUCUAAAAAACAGGAGGAGUAAGGGGCGGGUAAGACGGGUGCCAGCCGCCGCGGUAAUACCCGCGCCCCAAGUGGUGGUCGAUAUUAUUGAGCCUAAAACGUCCGUAGCCGGUCUUCUAAAUCCUUGGGUAAAUCGGGCAGCUUAACUGUCCGAAGUCCGGGGAGACUGGGAGACUUGGGACCGGGAGAGGUCAGAGGUACUUCUGGGGUAGGGGUAAAAUCCUGUAAUCCUGGAAGGACCACCGGUGGCGAAGGCGUCUGACUAGAACGGAUCCGACGGUGAGGGACGAAGCCCUGGGGCGCAAACGGGAUUAGAUACCCCGGUAGUCCAGGGUGUAAACGCUGCGGGCUUGGUGUUGGGGGUCCUUAGUGGGCGCCCAGUGCCGGAGAGAAGUUGUUAAGCCUGCUGCUUGGGGAGUAUGUCCGCAAGGAUGAAACUUAAAGGAAUUGGCGGGGGAGCACCGCAACGGGAGGAGCGUGCGGUUCAAUUGGAUUCAACGCCGGA